AUAGGCUUGCAUGCUGAAGGGAAUGAUUCAUUUGAAGGGAGAAACAAGUGCAGACUGAAAGACAGCAAUUGCUGAAGCAAUAUACACAAGUAAGCUGGAAAGGAUGCAAUCUAACGCAGUGGAGAAGGGUUGGCUUCCGCUGAAGAGUUCAUCUGUGAUAAGAGGAGAGAGAACGAAGCAUGUGCUUAGCAAUAAAGGUUACAUAUAUUUGGGAUUUGUAAUUCUUUGUCCUCCAAGAGUUUGGAGAAGCUUGAGUUAAAUGAACAUUUUGUUUUCAUAAAUAUCCAAUGCAGUGAGGGGAAAAUACAAGCUGUUCUGGAGCGGUUGAAAGAAAGCAGAGAAUGUGGAGGAACAGAAGAAAACUAAUGCAAAGUCUUCACUGUAGUUUUGGAUGAGGACUACUGCUCAAGCACGACAAUUCUUAUGCCUCCACUGAAGACCCUGGGUGUUCAACACUGUUUCUGCACUCUCAUGGAUUGUAAAUCAAGCAUCUCCCAUCCUACAUGUCUUCUGAUAAUUUUUCAGAUAUUAGCUCCCAAAUAGUUGUUCUUACACAGCCAGUUGUUCUUACACAGCCAGUUCUUCUUAUUGGUCAGAUAUCCAAAGAAUCAAGUUGGCCCUAUGCAGAUAGCAGGGAACCUGUAUGCUGGGCAGUUCUCUCCCUUCUGGUACUCUGCCUCAGUCUCUUGGAAUUUCAAUUGGUAGGUUGAAGAUCUCAGUAUUCUGCUUGAGUGGCUCCUUCUUUUGCCACAAUUCAGAAAGUGUCCCACAAAGAGAGAGCUGAGGAAAAUCAUACCGUGUGUCUCAUUUGUUUUCCUUCUUUCAGGGAUAAUAUUUCUCAGCUUCCAGUUGCCAAAAUUGUAAAAACAGACUUGUUUUAUAUAUACAUCUUGCCCAAUUUUUCUACUUCAUUCUAGUUCUGGGCCAUUUCUGGUACCAGUUUCUCUGCCACAGCCAGAUGUGAAAGAAGAAACUUAAUUUAUGAUGGAUUAAAACAUACAUAUAAGUGUCUGUUUUCUUCACAAUUCCAUUCUGUUGCAUUUGUAUGCAUUAAUUUCAGAAAUUUGUUUGCUCACUGUUUAGUCACUGUUUAACAUCUCACUUAUUCACAUUCAUAUUUACAUUCAUAUUCAUGUUCAUUCUUUUAAAAGCUUUUUUUUUUCUUUUGUGCCUUCAUUCACUUUUUCAGGCACAUAAACAUACAGUCUAAGUACUUUGCUAAACUUAGCAAAGAGAAACUUCAAAACUUAAUGUAAUUUUCACAUCAUGCUUGAAGUGAUUAGCCAGCUUUCCAGGUAGGUUGUCAUAACCUACACUCAGGCUAGCCAGCAGCAGAUUUUUAACUUCAGGGAUAAAACCUAGAGAAUCACCUGAAAAUCUCCAGAAAAAUAUAUACAAAUUGCAUUUUUCUCAGUCUUUUUUUUUGUCACCACCAGCUUGUGGAAGGGUAAAUAACAAACAUAUUUAGGAGAAUAAAAAGAAUUAUAUAUUCAUGCUUCCUGUUACAACCUCCUUUGCUUACAUACCAAAGAGAAAUUAGGACAAUUACUAUUUACUUUUCUACUUCAUGCCUUAUUCUAUAACCAACAUAAAUCCUGAAAAUUUGCCUAUGAGCAUCUUUUAAAAUUAAAUAUACCAUUGUGCCCCAGUUAAUGAUUCUUUGCCACAAAAUUUAAAUAAUUAAAUUGAUAGCCCGCAAAUGUAUCAACUUGUUUGGCUGAGUUCAAAAUUUGAAGUAGCAGUCUGCAGCAAAUCUUUCAGCUUUAUGUAGUGCUCUUUCAGGUUAGG
rnacentral:lncRNA from 1 species